AGAGUUUGAUCCUGGCUCAGGACAAACGCUGGCGGCGUGCCUAAUACAUGCAAGUCGAACGGUUCCACUUCGGUGGGAUAGUGGCGGACGGGUGAGUAACACGUAGAUGACCUGCCCUUUUGUGGGGAAUAACAUCUCGAAAGAGAUGCUAAUACCGCAUGAGCUCUUCUGUGUUGGCAGAAGAGGAAACCUUCUUCUUUCAUAGGAGGAGGGGCAAAAGGAGGGGUCUGCGGCGGAUUAGCUAGUUGGUGGGGUAAAGGCUCACCAAGGCUCUGAUCCGUAGCUGGUCUGAGAGGACGGCCAGCCACACUGGGACUGAGACACGGCCCAGACUCCUACGGGAGGCAGCAGUAAGGAAUAUUCCACAAUGGGCGCAAGCCUGAUGGAGCGACGCCGCGUGGAGGAAGACGCCUUUCGAGGUGUAAACUCCUUUUCUGUGGGAUGACAUCUGGGGAGAGUAACAUCUUCCCAGUACGACAGUACCACAGGAAUAAGCCUCGGCUAACUACGUGCCAGCAGCCGCGGUAAUACGUAGGAGGCGAGCGUUGUCCGGAUUUACUGGGCGUAAAGCGCGCGCAGGCGGCAGCCUAAGUACGGAGUGAAAUCUCCCUGCUCAACGGGGAGGGUGCUCUGUAGACUGGGCAGCUAGAGGACGGUAGAGGGGGGUGGAAUUGCUGGUGUAGCGGUGAAAUGCGUAGAGAUCAGCAGGAACACCCGUGGCGAAGGCGGCCCCCUGGGCCGAACCUGACGCUGAGGCGCGAAGGCUAGGGGAGCGAACGGGAUUAGAUACCCCGGUAGUCCUAGCAGUAAACGAUGGCCACUAGGUGUGGGGGGUGUUGACCCCUUCCGUGCCGAAGCCAACGCAUUAAGUGGCCCGCCUGGGGAGUACGGUCGCAAGACUAAAACUCAAAGGAAUUGACGGGGACCCGCACAAGCAGCGGAGCGUGUGGUUUAAUUCGAUGCAACGCGAAGAACCUUACCAGGGCUUGACAUUCUCUUGCAACCUUGCGAAAGCAGGGCCUCCCGCGAGGGACAGGAGAACAGAUGCUGCAUGGCUGUCGUCAGCUCGUGUCGUGAGAUGUUGGGUUAAGUCCCGCAACGAGCGCAACCCUCGUCUUUAGUUGACUAUCUAAAGAGACUGCCGGAAACAAACCGGAGGAAGGUGGGGAUGACGUCAAGUCAGCAUGGCUCUUACGUCCUGGGCUACACACACGCUACAAUGGCCGCUACAGCGAGAAGCCACCCUGCGAGGGGGAGCAGAUCUCUCAAAGGCGGCCCCAGUUCAGAUUGCACUCUGCAACCCGAGUGCAUGAAGUCGGAGUUGCUAGUAACCGCGUGUCAGCAUAGCGCGGUGAAUAUGUUCCCGGGUCUUGUACACACCGCCCGUCACGUCAUGGGAGCCGGCAAUACCUGAAGUCCGUGCGCUAACUCCUUGGCAUCUUUGCAUGUCCAAGGAGAGGCAGCGGCCGAGGGUAGGGCUGGUGACUGGGACGAAGUCGUAACAAGGUAGCC
rnacentral:rRNA from 1 species